rnacentral:lncRNA from 1 species
AAACACUCCAUAGAAGUCCCAAUCCCCAGAGAUGGAGAAUACGUUGUGGAGGUUCGCGCGCACAGUGAUGGAGGAGAUGGAGUGGUGUCUCAAGUCAAAAUUUCAGAAGGAAAAUCCACAUCCUUGAGAAGUAAAACAGCCAAAGAUCACAGAAGCAUCAGAACCAUGUCUUGAGCCCAAAUAUUCUCUGUUGCUAAAGUUAUAUAACUAGCUAUUGACAGAACUAGAGGUGCACCCACCCUAUCCCCAAGUCUUCUCGGCUUACUGCUGCCUGCCUUUGGCAUCCUUGUCUACUUGGAAUUCUGAAUGUGUUGUGACAGCUGCUGUUCCCAUCCCAGCUCAGAAGACACCCUUCAACCCUGGGAUGACCACAAUUCCUUCCAAUUUCUGCGGCUCCAUCCUAAGCCAAAUAAAUUAUACUUUAACAAACUAUUCAACUGAUUUACAACACACAUGAUGACUGAGGCAUUCGGGAACCCCUUCAUCCAAAAGAAUAAACUUUUAAAUGGAUA